ACCAAAUGAAAAAAGAAGGAUUCUCUCGCGCGGGUCUUAAAUAAAAAAGGGGAAAAAAACCAAGGGUCAAAAAUCCAGGUCUUGAAGAAACGCGGGUCAAAAAUUAUCGUGUCUUUCAGAAUUGCCAAAUCUUCUUCUCUCCCUCUCUCACACUUGCCGAUCCACAGCAAUUCUUCCUUCUUCCUUCUUCCUUCCUUCCUUCUUCCUUCCAAUUGCCGAUUCUCUCUCCCUCAAUCCAAAGAACCGGGUCUUCCAUCUUCUCUUUCCCCGAUUCUCGCUCCCUCACAGAUCGGAAGGCAAAGCAGAGACAAACAGAUCGGAAGGUAAUGCAGAGGUAAACAGAUCAUACUUUCUUACUUUGUUGCUUGCACAACUCAAAACCCAAAAAAAAAAAGUUUCUACUGAAGAUUUUUCCUUCUACUUCUGGAACCUCUAAUUGCCUAAACCUGUCCUGCAUCUUCUAUGCCCAUUUUUUUUUGUGUGCAUAAAUUUGGUGUAUUUAUAUCACACAUUGUUAAGUUCUGUAUUUAAAUAGUCUGAUAAAUUUGGUUUUUGCUACAUGCUGGUAAAAAUUCUCUUAUAAAGUAUCUUGUUAUGGUUCCAUUAUGCAUACUGCUAUUGUCUCUAGGUGAUGGAAUCAUGCACUCUAUUUCCAUUACAAAGAACUGGGUUACCUGGAAAGAAAAGGGAAAAGAUUUCUAUUAUAAUUUGAUAGCAAGGGAAUUCCAAAUGCAACUACCAGUACACUGGAACAUAGCCUCUGAAGUGACAUGAUUUUAUUUUAUUUUUUGAUUGCUUCACAUGCAUUUCUUAGCCACACUAUUUUCUUCACCUAAUUAGUUGUAUGUGUUUCUGUUGUUCAGGUGUGCUGGAAUAACGAAUAUGGGUAUCUUAGCAAUUUCUGGGUGCAUUUCAAGUAGCUAUUGUUGGAAUGUUGAUGAUUUGUCAGCAAGUCUUGGUGCAUAUUGUUUCUGUGUUUUUGUUAGUACAACUUUUGCUUGUGUUUUCGAACCAAAUUUAAAGAGAGAGAUGGACUCUUUUAACAGAACUCUUGAAUGCUAUAACAGAUUGACUGCUGUAACAGAGAUUGACUGUCGUUGUAACCCUAACUUUUUAAUAAAGAUGAU
rnacentral:lncRNA from 1 species